AGAAUGAACGCUGGCGGCAUGCCUAACACAUGCAAGUCGAACGAAGGCUUCGGCCUUAGUGGCGCACGGGUGCGUAACGCGUGGGAAUCUACCCUUAGGUUCGGAAUAACAGUUGGAAACGACUGCUAAUACCGGAUGAUGACGUAAGUCCAAAGAUUUAUCGCCUAGGGAUGAGCCCGCGUAGGAUUAGCUAGUUGGUGUGGUAAAGGCGCACCAAGGCGACGAUCCUUAGCUGGUCUGAGAGGAUGAUCAGCCACACUGGGACUGAGACACGGCCCAGACUCCUACGGGAGGCAGCAGUGGGGAAUAUUGGACAAUGGGCGAAAGCCUGAUCCAGCAAUGCCGCGUGAGUGAUGAAGGCCUUAGGGUUGUAAAGCUCUUUACCCGGGAUGAUAAUGACAGUACCGGGAGAAUAAGCUCCGGCUAACUCCGCGCCAGCAGCCGC
rnacentral:rRNA from 1 species